UACGGGAGGCAGCAGUGGGGAAUAUUGCGCAAUGGGCGGAAGCCUGACGCAGCGACGCCGCGUGGGGGAUGACGGCCUUCGGGUUGUAAACCUCUUUCAGCAGGGACGAAGCGAGAGUGACGGUACCUGCAGAAGAAGCACCGGCCAACUACGUGCCAGCAGCCGCGGUAAUACGUAGGGUGCAAGCGUUGUCCGGAAUUAUUGGGCGUAAAGAGCUCGUAGGCGGUUUGUUGCGUCGGCUGUGAAAUCCCGAGGCUCAACCUCGGGUCUGCAGUCGAUACGAGCAAACUAGAGUGUUGCAGGGGAGACUGGAAUUCCUGGUGUAGCGGUGAAAUGCGCAGAUAUCAGGAGGAACACCGGUGGCGAAGGCGGGUCUCUGGGCAACAACUGACGCUGAGGAGCGAAAGCGUGGGGAGCGAACAGGAUUAGAUACCCUGGUAGUCCACGCCGUAAACGUUGGGCGCUAGGUGUGGGGCUCAUUCCACGAGUUCCGUGCCGCAGCUAACGCAUUAAGCGCCCCGCCUGGGGAGUACGGCCGCAAGGCUAAAACUCAAAGGAAUUGACGGGGGCCCGCACAAGCGGCGGAGCAUGUUGCUUAAUUCGAUGCAACGCGAAGAACCUUACCUAGGCUUGACAUGCACGGAAAUCUCGCAGAGAUGCGGGGUCCGUAAGGGCCGUGCACAGGUGGUGCAUGGUUGUCGUCAGCUCGUGUCGUGAGAUGUUGGGUUAAGUCCCGCAACGAGCGCAACCCUCGUUCUAUGUUGCCAGCACGUCAUGGUGGGGACUCAUAGGAGACUGCCGGGGUCAACUCGGAGGAAGGUGGGGAUGACGUCAAAUCAUCAUGCCCCUUAUGUCUAGGGCUGCAAACAUGCUACAAUGGCCGGUACAAAGGGCUGCGAUACCGCGAGGUGGAGCGAAUCCCAAAAAGCCGGUCUCAGUUCGGAUUGGGGUCUGCAACUCGGCCCCAUGAAGUUGGAAUCGC
rnacentral:rRNA from 1 species